UACGGAGGGUGCAAGCGUUAAUCGGAAUUACUGGGCGUAAAGCGUGCGCAGGCGGUUUGUUAAGUCUGCUGUGAAAUCCCCGAGCUCAACUUGGGAAUUGCAGUGGAUACUGGCAAGCUGGAGUACGGUAGAGGAAGGUGGAAUUCCCGGUGUAGCAGUGAAAUGCGUAGAGAUCGGGAGGAACACCAGUGGCGAAGGCAGCACUCUGGGACGGUACUGACGCUGAGACGCGAAAGCGUGGGGAGCAAACAGG
rnacentral:rRNA from 1 species